AGUGAACGCUGGCGGUAGGCCUAACACAUGCAAGUCGAACGGCAGCACAGUAAGAGCUUGCUCUUACGGGUGGCGAGUGGCGGACGGGUGAGGAAUACAUCGGAAUCUACUUUUUCGUGGGGGAUAACGUAGGGAAACUUACGCUAAUACCGCAUACGACCUACGGGUAAAAGCAGGGGAUCUUCGGACCUUGCGCGAUCGAAUGAGCCGAUGUCGGAUUAGCUAGUUGGCGGGGUAAAGGCCCACCAAGGCGACGAUCCGUAGCUGGUCUGAGAGGAUGAUCAGCCACACUGGAACUGAGACACGGUCCAGACUCCUACGGGAGGCAGCAGUGGGGAAUAUUGGACAAUGGGCGCAAGCCUGAUCCAGCCAUACCGCGUGGGUGAAGAAGGCCUUCGGGUUGUAAAGCCCUUUUGUUGGGAAAGAAAAGCAGCAGGUUAAUACCCCGCUGUUCUGACGGUACCCAAAGAAUAAGCACCGGCUAACUUCGUG
rnacentral:rRNA from 1 species